CCUUAAAACAUUGAUAUUAAUAAAAUGGAAGUAUCUCAAUAUUUAAAUGAAUUGUCUCUAGUCUUGAAUCUUCGUGAUUGUCUGUUGAAACAGAAUGGCAAACAUAAAACUGUAUGUAAAAGGUCCCCACUUUUCAUCAGCUCUUGUAAUAAUUUUGUUCAUCCUAAAUAGUCUUACAAGUGACAUUUUGUAGCAUCUUAAAAAAAGAAUGUUAUCCAAGAAAGUAAAAUUGAAUUUAUCCUCUGUUUUGACUUUAAGGUUCUGUUACUAUAAAACUUACUUUAUUAAUGCAAAUAUAUGUGAAGUGAACAUAGCAUUUUUAUGACAAACUUGUUUGUAAAAUACAAAAAAAGUGGUGUUGCAAAGUUGAAAGUUAUGUAAGGUCCUAAAUGUAUAAUAGUAUAAUAUGAAUAGGGAGGUGUUCCCAAUGAAUUGUAAUAUACUACUGGCUGUUACAAAUACUGUUAUCUGUUUAAGCAUUCUUCAGUUUACCUUUGUUAAGUUAACGUAAAAGCACAAAAUGCUUGCUUAUUCAAUCGAACAUUUGGAUACUUCAAAGAAGCAAUAGUCUAUUUUUAAGGGGAAUUCUCUAAUCAUAGUUCCUUAGGCUGAUUUCAAUAUAUUUUUAUAAGGCUACAAAGAGGCUUGAAGUAGAUGAACAGUUUUACAUCUUUAAUUUUCAAUCUAUAUUUGUAGAUAUAAAAAAAAAAAGGAACGGGUGGAAACAAACUUGGAGUGUUUUAUUAAAUAGUUCACUUCAUAAAUGGUAAAACUUUAUUAGUAUUCUAUGAAUACUGAUAUUUUGAUAUUUGUAGAUACUGUAUUUUGUAACAGCCAAAAAGAUGUUUUGAAAUAUACACUUUCUUCUUGAUCUAUAUCUCAUUUUUAUUUAUUUUUAAUGAAUUUGUGAACAUUUAUUUUAAUUAAUUUAACAACUAUUUAAAAGGAGAACAAUUUUGUGUCUUGUACAAAGUGUUUUAAAGUAUUUUAUUUAUUUUUAUUUAUGGAGUUAUUGACUGGGUUUUAACAUAUCAUUUGGAGCUUGAGGGUUGAGAAUAUUUUAUAAUGGUUUAAAUUUCUAUCACAAUUAAAUUUUACUAUCUGCAUAAGUGUUGAAGUAAGAGAACAGAAAACUAAUUUUUCCAUAAUUUGGAAUCUUGCUGAAAUGAUGUUGCAGUUGGAAAAUUUAUGGGUGGUAACUAUAAAAAAUCUUUCCUAAUAUCUCAAAAUCAUUUGGAAGAAAUUAAUAUUUCUCAUGUCAAUAUUGUACCUAGUGAACUUUAAUUGUGAUAGAAAUUAUAAAACAAAAAUACAACUCUUUUGGUUAUCCUUAGUAUCAAGUCUUGAUUUUUUUUCUUUUAAACUUGUCGGAUUUUAUUUGAGUAAACAAUUUUCUAUUCAUUUAUUGCUUUAAGCAAACCUAACUUCUUUUUAUAUUUUUGCCUUGAGGAAGGUUUAAAAACUUUCAUUUUCAUGUUCUUAAGUUAUUUUUGUACAUCAUUGAAUAUAUAUAUAAAAUUACAAAAAGCUAUAUUCAAAAAAUAUUUUUGUACUUUAUGAAAUAUAUUUAAUCAAAUCUAAAUACUAA
rnacentral:lncRNA from 1 species